AGAGUUUGAUCCUGGCUCAGGAUGAAUGCUAGCGGCAGGCCUAAUACAUGCAAGUCGAACGCUCAGUAGCAAUACUGGGAGUGGCGCACGGGUGCGUAACGCGUACACAAUCUACCUCUAAGCGGGGGACACCUCCUGGAAACGGGGAUUAAUACCGCAUAAUAUGCCGAGGUCGCAUGACUUUGGUAUUAAAGCAGCAAUGCACUUAGAGAUGAGUGUGCGUCCCAUUAGGUAGUUGGUGAGGUAACGGCUCACCAAGCCUAUGAUGGGUAGCCGGUCUGAGAGGAUGGUCGGCCACACGGGCACUGAGACACGGGCCCGACUCCUACGGGAGGCAGCAGUAAGGAAUAUUGGUCAAUGGUGGAAACACUGAACCAGCCAUGCCGCGUGGAGGAAUAAGGUCCUACGGAUUGUAAACUCCUUUUGACGAGGAAGAAAGUGUUAGAUUUAUCUAAUUUUGACGGUACUCGUAGAAUAAGCACCGGCUAACUCCGUG
rnacentral:rRNA from 1 species